GCCGCUGUAGCACAACGGAAGUGCGCCGCGUUGCCAGCGCGGAGACCCGGGUUCGACUCCCGGCGGCAGCUCCA
rnacentral:tRNA from 1 species